CCUUGGUUCUGUUUUGUUGGUUUUGAGGACUAGGGAAAUGAUUAAUAGGAACAGUUGGGGGCAUUAGUAUUUAGUUGUCAGAGGUGAAAUUCUUGGAUUGACUAAAGACUAGCUGAUGCGAAAGCGUUUGCCAAGGAUGUAUCCAUUGAUCAAGAGCGAAAGUCAGGGGAUCGAAGACGAUCAGAUACCGUCGUAGUCUUGACCGUAAACGAUGCCGACGAGAGAUCAGAUGCGCGGGAGAGUGUGUUUGGGAUCUUUGAGAAAUUAGAGUUUUUAGGUUCCGGGGGGAGUAUGGUCGCAAGGCUGAAACUUGAAGGAAUUGACGGAAGGGCACCACCAGGAGUGGAGCCUGCGGCUUAAUUUGACUCAACACGGGGAAACUCACCAGGU
rnacentral:rRNA from 1 species